UACGGGGGGAGCAAGCGUUGUUCGGAUUUACUGGGCGUAAAGGGCGCGUAGGCGGCCAGCACAAGUCAGUUGUGAAAUCUCCGGGCUUAACUCGGAAAGGUCAACUGAUACUGUGCGGCUAGAGUGCAGAAGGGGCAACUGGAAUUCUCGGUGUAGCGGUGAAAUGCGCAGAUAUCAAGAGGAACACCUGAGGUGAAGACGGGUUGCUGGGCCGACACUGACGCUGAUGCGCGAAAGCCAGGGGAGCAAACGGG
rnacentral:rRNA from 1 species